GAUGAACGCUGACAGAAUGCUUAACACAUGCAAGUCGAUGGGGAAGUGGUGCUUGCACCAUGGCAACCAUGGCGGACGGGUGAGUAACGCGUAAGGGACUUACCUGCAGGACUGGGAUAACAGGGGGAAACUCCUGACAAGACCGGAUAAUGUCAUGGAGCUGCAUGGCUUUAUGAUGAAAGGAGACGCCUGCGGAGAGCCUUGCGUCCUAUUAGCUAGUUGGUGAGGUAAUGGCUCACCAAGGCGAAGAUAGGUAGCCGGCCUGAGAGGGUGGACGGCCACAAGGGGAAUGAGAUACGGACCUUACUCCUGCGGGAGGCAGCAGUGGGGGAUAUUGGACAAUGGGGGCAACCCUGAUCCAGCAAUGCUGUGUGCACGAAGAAGGUUUUCGGAUUGUAAAGUGCUUUCAGCAGGGAAGAAGUAAGUGACGGUACCGGCAGAAGAAGCGACGGCUAAAUACGU
rnacentral:rRNA from 1 species